UACAGAGGUCUCAAGCGUUGUUCGGAUUCAUUGGGCGUGAAAGGGUGCGUAGGUGGCGCGGCUAAGUCGGGUGUGAAAUUCGUGGACUUAACUCCGAAAUUGCAUUCGAUACUGCCGUGCUCGAGGACUGGAGAGGAGACUGGAAUUCAUGGUGUAGCAGUGAAAUGCGCAGAUAUCAGGAGGAACACCGGUGGCGAAGGCGGGUCUCUGGGCCGUAACUGACGCUGAGGAGCGAAAGCGUGGGGAGCGAACAGG
rnacentral:rRNA from 1 species